GGCGAUUUGGCUUCAACAUCUGUCACCCCAUUGAUCACCAGGGUUGAUUCGGCUGAUAUGGCAGCUGGGCGGGCUGCUCAUUC
ensembl:misc_RNA 7SK 7SK RNA